rnacentral:lncRNA from 1 species
CCUAAUGAAAAAGAAAAUUAAAAAUUACUAAUGGAAGGAAACAAUAAUAAUGUAAAAGAUAAAAGAAAGAAAAAAAACUACCCUGAAUAAGUGGGUUGCCUCCCACAAGCGCCUUUGUUUGAAGUCGUUGGCUCGACAUCGCAAAUCCUCAAGAUUGAUCUCCUUCAACCAAGCUGUUUGCUCCCCUUCAUAAAAAUGUUUCAACCUGUGACCAUUCACCUUAAAAAUUUUAUUAGUUUCAAGGCUCCUAAUUUCGAUUUCCCCAUGAUGAUGCACCUCGGUUAUUAUAAAUGGUCCAAGCCACCUUGAUUUUAACUUACCAGGAAACAGUUUAAGCUUAGAAUUAAAUAG